rfam:Triticum aestivum genome assembly, contig: Triticum_aestivum_CS42_TGACv1_scaffold_063566_1DL
AGGCAGCCCUUUUUUCUGAUUACAAUGGCAAUGGAGGUGUUGCAUUGCUCGGAGAGUGAAUCUUCUGCUCUUCAGAUUAGCCGAGGUGGAUGUUCCGGCUUCCCUCCGUGAAGCUAGUCUAGUAGUCUUAAGAACAUU